rnacentral:rRNA from 1 species
CUCUGUGACUCCUACGGGAGGCAGCAGUGGGGAAUAUUGCACAAUGGGCGCAAGCCUGAUGCAGCCAUGCCGCGUGUGUGAAGAAGGCCUUCGGGUUGUAAAGCACUUUCAGUCGUGAGGAAGGUAGUGUAGUUAAUAGCUGCAUUAUUUGACGUUAGCGACAGAAGAAGCACCGGCUAACUCCGUGCCAGCAGCCGCGGUAAUACGGAGGGUGCGAGCGUUAAUCGGAAUUACUGGGCGUAAAGCGCAUGCAGGUGGUUUGUUAAGUCAGAUGUGAAAGCCCGGGGCUCAACCUCGGAAUUGCAUUUAGAAACUGGCAGACUAGAGUACUGUAGAGGGGGUAGAAUUUCAGGUGUAGCGGUGAAAUGCGUAGAGAUCUGAAGGAAUACCGGUGGCGAAGGCGGCCCCCUGGACAGAUACUGACACUCAGAUGCGAAAGCGUGGGGAGCAAACAGGAUUAGAUACCCUGGUAG